rnacentral:lncRNA from 1 species
CCCAGACUCUAUAUAAUUCUUGGCUCUGCCACUUGUAUGCAAUUACUUACUUUUAUGUACUCACCCUUUCAUUGUUUGUGUGCGUUUGCGAAAAUUCAGAAUUUCCACAGGCAGCAGGUGAUGCUAGACGUCGUGUUGGAGUUUCUUUUGUUUUGGAUUGUCUUAUUUUAUUGUACUCGCUUGCAUGCCAGGAUAUGAAAUUUUGUUUUAAGGAUUUCCAGAUCUAAUAGGUCUUCAGGAUAAUUUUUGUAUGUUUCAUUUUCUACGAAUGAUGGAUUACUUUGUGUUGAUUCCAACAGCUUUAUUGGAUCAAUUCCUUUUGCAUGUUUUGAAAUAAUUAUGGAUAUUUGUUUAUGUCUAAGUUUAAAUAUGACGACCUAAACCAUGUUUAUUAUGAGAUAUUAUAUUUAAAAGAAUGUAAACAAAAUUAAAGCACUUUUUACAAACUAUUGUUAUGAGAUUUAGGGUGUCAAGGAAAAUGACUCUGAAAU